AGCAAGAUACAUAAAUCUGGGUCCAUCGUCAACCGCGACGGCAUCCGACAGUACAAAACAGUCUACACACUACUGUAAAACGAACUCAGCAUCCCAGCACGAGCGUAAUCUCAAUCUACACUAAUCUGGGUAUCCACCGCAUACUAACAGCGGCGAUACAAAAGAACCACAGCUCCUAAAGCUAAAUUUGAUAAUUAUUCAG
rnacentral:lncRNA from 1 species